rnacentral:rRNA from 1 species
GACGAACGCUGGCGGCGUGCUUAACACAUGCAAGUCGAACGGUAAGGCCCUUCGGGGUACACGAGUGGCGAACGGGUGAGUAACACGUGGGUGAUCUGCCCUGCACUUCGGGAUAAGCCUGGGAAACUGGGUCUAAUACCGGAUAGGACCACUGCCUGCAUGGGGGGUGGUGGAAAGCUUUUGCGGCGUGGGAUGGGCCCGCGGCCUAUCAGCUUGUUGGUGGGGUGAUGGCCUACCAAGGCGACGACGGGUAGCCGGCCUGAGAGGGUGACCGGCCACACUGGGACUGAGAUACGGCCCAGACUCCUACGGGAGGCAGCAGUGGGGAAUAUUGCACAAUGGGCGCAAGCCUGAUGCAGCGACGCCGCGUGAGGGAUGACGGCCUUCGGGUUGUAAACCUCUUUCAGCACCGACGAAGCGCAAGUGACGGUAGGUGCAGAAGAAGGACCGGCCAACUACGUGCCAGCAGCCGCGGUAA